CCCUUGUUCCUAGACAUCUAAGUCGCCGAACCCUCCCGUUCACCCCUCAAAGAGGAAAAUGAUCAGAAAUCCUCACCCCAAACCAAGCUUCCCCAGGAGAAGCGCGCAGCAGGAAAAACCCAGGGGGCUCGGAGAAGCCCCGGGAUGCUGGGGGCCGGUCGGGGCCAGGGUCGUCCCGGCUCGUCUCCAGCUGGCGGCGGGGACGGAUUACAGAAGCCGAAGGUGUUUCCCGGAGCGGGAAGAACGCGCGGCUGUGUUCAUGGCCAGGUCUCUAGCGACUCUCGAUUUCGCUUGGUCAAAAAAUUCCCCAGAGCUUGGCGUCUCUCGGAAGGCGGCAGGGCGGCAGCGGCUAGCCGGGUCCCCAGCACGGAGGCAAAAAUCCGCGGGAUCCGCCGCACGGCGCCGGGCAGCUGGCCCCGGAGCCCUAGCCCGCCGCCGCCGCGCGCCGCGAGCCCCCGCGCACAACUUUCCGUGUCCUCGCGCAGCCGGGGGGCGCGUGGCGGGCACACGCGCGCUAUUUAUAGGAGCGCACGCCGGCUGGGCUUGGCUCGCUGCUCAGCCCGCCGACCCCCCGGGAAGGGAAAGGCGGCCCGGGACCCUCGCUGAGCAGCUCCCGCCUGGCCUGGAACAGACCUCCGGCACGCGAGGCGCACGGCUCUGCUGGCCGCCGAGGUGGAUGGCUUCCUACUCCUUCCUGAAAGAACACCACCCUCCUGAGCCUGAAUUCAAGCUGCUCCAGACAGAAGUCAGACCUGCGUCUCCAGGCUUGUCCCCUCAUCAGGUCCUCCCAGAGGGCUGUGUGCUGAGCCACAAGCAUCGCACUGCAGCUCCAAUUGUUAAAAUCAGAAAUGCUUCUUCCAGUUGGUAUUUCCCCAACCCCUACCUCCAUAUAAUCUUGCGACUAAGGUUCCUGGAGCCAAAGGGGCCUGCAGAGUGUGCUCCAGUGAGGCCAGUAUCAGCUCUGAUUGUGGGUCCACGUGCUGUGCUAUUUGUAAAACUGUUGAGUCACUAAUCCACCCCAAGCCUAGCAGAGCUUUUCGCCUGAACCCUGGCUGCACUUUGUACCUCUCUCCUGGUUUUCAGCACAGUC
ensembl:lncRNA